rnacentral:tRNA from 2 species
CGAGCAGAUGGCCGACGGCCGCGUGGUCGGCGUCGCUCGCGUCGUCGCAGAGCGCGCGUUUCGCGGCCGCGCGGUACGC